ensembl:misc_RNA Metazoa_SRP Metazoan signal recognition particle RNA
GUCAGGCGUAGUGGCGGGUGCCUGUAAUCCCAGCUACUUGGGAGGCUGAGGCAGGAGAAUUGCUUGAACCCAGGAGGCAGAGGUUGCAGUGAGCCAAGAUUGUGCCACUGCACUCCAGCCUGGGUGACAGAGCAAGACUCUGUUUCAA